rnacentral:rRNA from 1 species
CCUACGGGUGGCAGCAGUGGGGGAUAUUGCACAAUGGGGGGAACCCUGAUGCAGCGACGCCGCGUGGGUGAAGAAGCGCCUCGGCGCGUAAAGCCCUGUCAGCAGGGAAGAAAAUGACGGUACCUGAAGAAGAAGCCCCGGUUAACUACGUGCCAGCAGCCGCGGUAAUACGUAGGGGGCAAGCGUUAUCCGGAUUUAAUGGGUGUAAAGGGGGCGCAGACGGCGAUGCAAGCCAGGAGUGAAAGCCCGGGGCCCAACCCCGGGACUGCUCUUGGAACUGCGUGGCUGGAGUGCAGGAGGGGCAGGCGGAAUGCCUAGUGUAGCGGUGAAAUGCGUAGAUAUUAGGAGGAACACCAGUGGCGAAGGCGGCCUACUGGACGGUGACUGACGCUGAGGCUCGAAAGCGUGGGGAGCAAACAGGAUUAGAUACCCUUGUAGUC